rnacentral:miRNA from 1 species
GGAGUGUCAGGGGUGGCCCUUGCCCAGGUUGGCACAUCUGAGCCAAAUUGGCAGAGCUGCUUCUUCUUCCU